rnacentral:lncRNA from 1 species
AGUCACUGCGUGGCUCGUCCGUACGGGUCCUGUAGGCCAUAGACCAACAGAUCUCAUAGCCGCUUAUUCGUCUGCUUUACGAAGUCAUUGUGUCUGCUGAUAUUUAGAUCGAGUGUACUUUGUACAACAGGAGUGGUCAUUGUAGCGGAGAAAACGACGAGUAAGGCUCCGUAGAAAACAUUGAGUCGACAGCAACGAGCGAUUAGGUGCAAGGAGCCUACUUUCGCUAUUCAAAAUGCGAAAUUGUCUUAAAUGCUGACGUCCGUCAUUAUGUUGGUUCAAGCACGGACGAGGAUAGCGCCCUUGGCAGAUUAGAGCGGCAGCCAUUUGAAUAUUGCUUUUAAUUUUAACUGGGGGGGCGUUAGUGGGUCUAAGGAGUAAACUUGUUCCGAUAUUCACGAGAAAACUGAGACGUUCUCCAUUUGACAAUUAUAUAUAUAUAUAUAUAUAUAGCAGUAAAGACUUCAUUUACGUACGACUGUCCAUCACCGACAGUUGAAAGCACGUAAAGUGAUGUCGAAUUGAAUUCAGGCACGUCUUUCCUGGAAGCUCAGUCCGAACACCCCGUCGGAUUUUGGCCAGUACCUUCGGAAACCUCAAAAACGACGUUUGUGCUUCGAUGUUUUAUUGAUGUGGUAGCCAUUGAACAGUUCGCGGCACACAGCAGUUGCGGACGUACGCCUUACGGGGCCGAUAUAUUCCCGUGCAAUUCCGAUGUUCUGACAUACCCGUGCCAUCCACAGGCGUGCAUCAACUACAAGAAAUAUAAGCUGAUUCAUUAAGCAUAAUUUAUAAAAAUCAACCUGCACAACAUCUAUACUUCGAAUGAGUAAUAUGCACCCUUCAACAGAUAAGGUAUCUAAGCUGGCGUGUUUUAUAGUCAAACGAGUGACGUGCAAACAGGAGGUGCUUCCACCUCGUUGGAGGCUCUCCGAUGGUACCAUUGCUGGCCUAAGGCAACAAAGGGAAAAGAAAGCAUCAUAUCUCGUUUGUUCGCCAACUGCGUGUGAAUUAACUUAUGCAUUUUUAACUACUGCCAAUUUGAACUCCAUGAAUUCUUCCAUGGCAGUUGAAGUACGUCGGACAUGGUACGAAAGUCUACUGUCUUCAGAUGAGCGUCUCUCUAUCUUUGAACUUGAUUGCUGACUAACUGACUGAUUUCUAAAUUAAACUGCUCCUUACGUUAGCGGCCAUAACCACACUGGUCGAUCUAUGGUCCUCACUCCCGUAGGAUAAGUUCGAUGUGGACGGUGUACUUGAGUUGGCGGACGUCGUGGACAGUGGACCGACUAAGUGUGAAAUCCGUUUUCGUGUAGCGGUUGAUUUUGGCAGCACUACGAUGUUAUGCUAUCGUUAAAGGAUCAGGGCUAUUAAGAUCGCAACGCCUAUUAUUGAUUGAGAAAAACGCGUGCGAUCUGGCCACUUCGGUCAAGCUUUCUCCUAACGAGAGAAAAAGUCAUGGUUAGAAAAUGAUUCGCCGAACGUAAACGUAUCCUUCUGGUCAGUAUUGGAAAUUAUCCGGAUGUUCUUUUCAAAACGUACACUUGAGCUUACCCGCAAUAAAUGCGGUAAAACAUAUGGAAGAUACGCUAUUCAAACUACCUAAAAAUACCAUUCGGCAAAUCUCUAUUUACCGAUCGGUUAUUCAUAGUAUCCUUGCGGCAGCCGGCUCAGUAUCGCCUGACGACGAUACGGGACGUAAAAUUCUAAACACAGAGGGUGUGCUAGUACAAGUAAGAAUAGUACUUACUGCGCAGUGAGUGCCAGUUUAUUGGCCGGACACUUAAUCAUGUGCGAUGCUGAAGUAGAGCUUGCCAUUGUAGGAGAACUAACGGUGGUGCGAGUCAACUUGGCCGGGUAACUACGGGCGCCCUAAACCUCAAUCAGAACACACACGUAAGGGCUAAAGGUCGUCUGUGUGGCAAUGACGUGCUUAGUUCCCAGUGAUCGAAUAGCUUUUGAUCCCAGGUUCAUAAAUAUGCUCAUAGGUGCAAGCAAAGCAGUAUUUACAUCAAAGCCGAACGAUCAACAUACGUGAUCUCCGUAACAGCAGAGUCCGCCAAGGCUAAACGUUGAACCCUAAAUGAAGUUGGCUUUCGGCCAUUUCGGGGUAUCUAAAUACCUAUCUCACUUAGAACCAAACUGGCGAAAAAGCCUCCAGCACAGUUGGGCACCAUCCGAUCAACGUCCAGCAUCCAGCAAACGUUUCCAUUCAUACUCAGCCAAAAUAAGAUGAAAUAAACUU